UCGUUUUAUCACAACCACUUCACCACGGUCUCGUUCAGCGAGGCGCAAAAUAGGCUACACGAAGCGAGAUGAGAUGACAAGCGGCAGAACAAUGACUGCGAGCCUUCGGAUGUGGCGGGAGGAAAGUGCAGGCGAGCGAAGGAGGCAGCGGGAAGAGAAAUGACCUCUGACCCCCUGAAAGCACAUCGCCGGCUCUUACGCGCCCGAGGGGCACUGACUUCUGGGUAAAUUACCGGAGAGCGUGCGGCCAGCUAAUGUCCCUCUCUCCCAGCUUUCACAGAACGAGCCGUACCCACCGCUGAGGACACCCACGCCAUGUCCAGCCAGUCACGAUUCUGGGCAAUUUUAUUGGAAGCGCUGGACAAGAAGAAUUGCCUAUUUUAGACGGGGGGAGACCGUAAAGUGUAUUCGGUAAUAUUUUCUCGUACCCAAUUACACAUGUUAUUAUUAUAUAUAAAGUAGCAACUGAUAAUACAUCUAUAAAGAUUUCUAUAUGUAAAAAUAUACUGUCAUUUCUUCUAUGAGAUAAUUGAAUAUUGUAUGGAAAUGGUAUAAACCGAUAACGUGUAGUAUAUAAGCAGGUAAUUUGCUGUCAGUAGUGUGGGCAUAAUGUGUAUAAAUGAAGUGCUGAUUUUUUUUGUGUGCGUUUUGUAUAUGUAUAUAAAUAUUUGUAUAAUUGGGGGCA